AAAUCACUGUUUUUCUUCUCUGAAAUUCUAAGUUUCUUCCUCUGUGUUAUAAUAGUUCUCCUCCUGAGUAGUAUGCUCUGUGCUUGCCUCUAGUAGAGGACCCUGCACAUCAGAAAAUUUAAAUCUAAGAUCCUUGCUACGAUCUCUAUAAUCAUAAAUGGUUAAAUAUCUGUGAUCACUAAAGGCCUAGAGUUAUGGUGGACAAGAUGGCUAUACAGUGAUACAGGUCCUUGGUUCUUAUUGUUUUUGGAGCUCUCGGCCAGUAUUCGUUAAUCAUUGUCAGAGAUUGGUGCAUAAAAUGGGGAGCCUUAAUACUUAAAGAAAAAGAGGUUGGUAUUGUAAUUUAUCCGACGAGAGAAGAGAACUUUACAAUAAGAAACGAAGAGAAGCUUAAGCACAGAAGAAACUAUUAGAAAACCAAGAUAAUGACCAAAGAGAAAGGUGUGUCGUUGCUUUUGCAAGACAUGAAGAAGAUGCAGGAUUAGAUCAACGAGUUUACAAUGUUCCUUCGGUUUCUCAAGUUGCAGCAAUAUGGGUAGAGAAUGGUUCUUCAGAAAAGCGUCAAGGUCCUCACAUUGUCGUUCAUGGUCAUACAGGCUUUUCACAUAAAGUUGAAUAUUAUUUUGGUUGUUACGAUCCCCUUCAAUAUCCUUUAUUGUUUCUUUAUGGAGAGAAUGGAUGGCAUCGAGGUAUUCCGAUUGAACAAAAAAUCAAUGCUCAAACAUUGCCUUGAGCAAAACCAAAAUAUUUCAGAUCAAGUAACAUCUUCUGCAGAUUUUUUACAAAGAGACGCAUCAGGUGUUAUAUUGUGAAAUUUAAAUUUAGUUCCACGUUUAUUUUUAACAUCUUUAUCUAUGACACUUGUUUUUGUCUCGUGCGAAAAAAAAAAAAGAAAAAAAAAAAAAAGAUGAUGUUUCUUGUCGAGAUUACUACUGUUAUAAAUUGCAGGUUAGAUCAACAGAAACAUCAUUGUUGUUGCACUCAGGUCGCCUUCUACAACAAUAUGUUGUUGACAUGUAUGUAAAGUUGGAGACAUCAAGAUUAUACUAUUUUCGGAACAACUAACAUGAUUUUCGAGCUGAAUUAAAACAAGGAAUUACUGAUAGUAUAGAAGGUGGUG